rnacentral:rRNA from 1 species
AGCUCCAAUAGCGUAUAUUAAAGUUGUUGCGGUUAAAAAGCUCGUAGUUGGAUUUCUGCCGAGGACGACCGGUCCGCCCUCUGGGUGAGCAUCUGGCUCGGCCUUGACAUCUUCUUGGUGAACGUAGCUGCACUUGACUGUGUGGUGCGGUACCCAGGACUUUUACUUUGAGGAAAUUAGAGUGUUUCAAGCAGGCAUACGCCUUGAAUACAUUAGCAUGGAAUAAUAAGAUAGGACUUUGGUUCUAUUUUGUUGGUUGGAGGCCAAGGUAAUGAUUAAUAGGGAUAGUUGGGGGUAUUCAUAUUUAAUUGUCAGAGGUGAAAUUCUUGGAUUUAUGAAAGAUGAACUUCUGCGAAAGCAUUUGCCAAGGAUGUUUUCA